UUCAGAUACAGCUUGCAAGGGAAACAAGACAAGACACAGAAGAGAAAAAUCAGAAACACUUCGUACUCAGUAUAUAAAUUUUAAGGAAGUGAGGGUAACAAUUGGAACUUGGAAUGUUGCUGGAAGAACUCCAAGUGAAGAUUUUGGGAUUGAUGAAUGGCUUUCUACUCAAGAACCAACAGAUGUUUACAUUUUGGGGUUUGAAGAGGUAGUUCCAUUAAAUGCUGGAAAUGUACUAGGAGCAGAGGACAAUGCACCAAUCAGAUUUGUAUAUCUGUGACUAUUGCAUUACUCACUACCAAUAUAUAAUUCCAUGAUGAUAAAUUAAAUUGAUAAUUUUGUAUAUAAUUGUUAGUAUAUGAUUGCUGAUGUAUAUAAUGUGUAAAAUAUAUACAUGUAUGUGAAUUCAAUCCAUCAAUGCAUGAUAUUUUAUUUAGCUUCUAA